rnacentral:rRNA from 1 species
GACGAACCGUGCGAACGUUGUUCGGAUUCACUGGGCUUAAAGGGCGCGUAGGCGGGCGGUCAAGUCGGGGGUGAAAUCUUUCAGCUUAACUGGAAAAGUGCCUCCGAUACUGAUCGCCUCGAGGGAGGUAGGGGCAUGUGGAACUUCCGGUGGAGCGGUGAAAUGCGUAGAUAUCGGAAGGAACGCCGGUGGCGAAAGCGACGUGCUGGACCUCUUCUGACGCUGAGGCGCGAAAGCUAGGGGAGCAAACGG